GGUUGCUGGGGCACGCUCGGCCGGCGUUGCCAGCCGGGAGGAGAAAGUUGGAGACGGUCGCCGUGAGCUGUGUCUGGUGCGCACCAGCAUCCCGAGGCCCCGGAGGCGGAGCGCUCAGCCAGCUGCUCAGCGGCAGGAGGGGCUGGUUUGCAUCCAGUGUCCUUACGUCCCGGCUCUGGGAUAUGAGGUGCCCAUCAUAAGCUCCAGAGAGUCGCCUUCCCCGGAGCCCAGCAGAGAAGUGGGGGAAACAUGAAGUCCAACCCUGCCAUCCAAGCUGCCAUCGACCUCACUGCAGGGGCCGCAGGGGGCACAGCAUGCGUGCUGACCGGGCAGCCCUUCGACACGAUGAAAGUGAAGAUGCAGACAUUCCCCGAUCUGUACCGUGGGCUCACUGACUGCUGCCUGAAGACCUACUCCCAGGUGGGCUUCCGAGGCUUCUACAAGGGUACCAGCCCGGCGCUG